CCUACGGGCGGCAGCAGUGGGGGAUAUUGGACAAUGGGGGGAACCCUGAUCCAGCGACGCCGCGUGAGUGAAGAAGUAUCUCGGUAUGUAAAGCUCUAUCAGCAGGGAAGAAGAAAUGACGGUACCUGAGUAAGAAGCCCCGGCUAACUACGUGCCAGCAGCCGCGGUAAUACGUAGGGGGCAAGCGUUAUCCGGAAUUACUGGGUGUAAAGGGAGCGUAGACGGUGAUGUAAGUCUGGAGUGAAAGGCGGGGGCCCAACCCCCGGACUGCUCUGGAAACUAUGUGACUGGAGUGCAGGAGAGGUGAGCGGAAUUCCUAGUGUAGCGGUGAAAUGCGUAGAUAUUAGGAGGAACCCCGAUUGCGAAGGCAGCCUGCCGGGGUGCGACUGACGCUGAGGCUCGAAGGUGCGGGUAUCAAACAGGAUUAGAUACCCUUGUAGUC
rnacentral:rRNA from 1 species